CAUUGCCUGGGUAUUGGAAACCUAUGAAGGUUUUAUGUGAAGGUACUAGAGUUAUAUCAUAAGAGUUACAUCUAGAAUAGGAAUCAUGGCCAUAUUCUCAGUACUCACAUAAUAUUCUGGGUUUGGAAAUUCGUGUCAAAGUGAACAAUCACCAGGACCUUCACAGUGCUCACUGGAGUGAAGACACUGAGGACUGUACCACAAGAACUGUGCAGACCUUGACAGUCUCUUCCCUCUUGGCUUGCUAAGAGUAUUUCUGGGGUUGGGACCUUAGUGUUUCUGGACCACUUGACUUGGACUCAGAAGUGAGUAGGUUUAUCAGACUCCAGUUAUAGAAUGGUUACUACUUGACACUUUUAUUUGAUACUCAUUGCCAAACAGGGCAAAAUGUUAGUCAAGAUACUGGAAGAAUAGGGAGAAAUUACUCUGCCCACCCUUGCACUCAGCAUAUAGGCAUUAGAAGGACUAGACCUGUUAGAUGGUAAUAUCAUCUAACAAGCAGUGCAGGAACCCAGAUCUGCUACUUACAAUGGGUCUAAUAUGCAGCAUACUUAGACCAUGAGAGAGAAUAUGGAGUUUGGCAAUGAGGUACAUGUAAACUAAGCUCAGUAGGCCAGCAUCUCACUAAUGACCUCUCUUAGCAUGGUGAAGCAGGACAUCAGGCUAGUAAGGCCUUCUGUGCCCAUAAGAAUGCUGAGAUAGAAAAACUCUUGGAACAGGGUCUGAGCCAUGUGAUUAAUCUGUAUAGUGUGCUCUGGACCACAAGAAACUCCCAGACAACCUUGAGAUCUCUUGUGUUGCCACUUUCUUUCCCCCAUCUUAAUAGUAAGGCUGCUUAUAGUGUUGGGUGUGGCUGAUCUGAUGUGGUGUUCCGUUGUUGCUGGAGAUGCCUCUUUCUGAUUUCAGAUGCCAUGCAGCUGCCACUGAACAAGAGGAAACUGUAACUCGCAGUGGCUUACUCAGAUCAUGUGACUGUUAAGGUUUAGACCUUCAAUGAGGAGGCAAUCUCUGUUCCACUUUGUACUUUAUCAGAUCUGCUUGGUUGGUGCUGGCAAAGAAACAGAAAAACUGCAAGAGCUUCUCUUGAAGUCAUGGCCCAGAAUGGACCAAAGUGGUGUCACAGGAUGUUCCGGGGAGAGUUUCCCAUAGACGCUUUUCAGAAAGUCCAGGUUCAUCUUACUACUUUCCUGUCGUCUGUCUUGUGGCCUGGAAUACAGUUUCAAUGCUGUACUGUGCAUUGAAGACUCUGAUUGGCUUCUAGAUCUUCAUGCUAUGAUUCAUGGAGAAGAAAGAGAGAACCACAACACCGAUGGUAUUUGGAGUUCCUGAUUCAUAGCUUCAGAACACCGACUGUUUCAAGCUGAUGUGUAUGCUCUGAAGAUCAUCUGGCACCUGAUUUUUGUAUUCUAGUUUUUCUUAUAAAAAUUAAUUGCCAGUCUUCUAUAUGGAGUCUUUGUAUGAAUAAAUAAAAACCUUUUCAUUAUGUUACAAUAAUGAAAUCCAUUCUUAAUUAUUUCAAAACUCAGCUUAAAAUAAUUUAAAAAUUAUUUGAGUGGUCUCAUUUGUAUUUGUUUGUGUCCCCAAUUUGUGGUUGUUUGUUUUGGCUUUUUUGUUUGUUUUUUGUUUUGUAUGUUUCCAAAUCUGGUUAAUGAAUGUAUUCCUCUAUGUGUUCUUGAUAUAUGGCCCAGAUCUCCAAUAAAGUAUGAUGCUUUGGAAACAGAAAUCCUAAAAUCUCUAUACCAAUUAUUAUACUAUUUGUAUAUAAUAUCUAUAAUCAUAGAAUAACUCAGUAUUCUAUUAUAAUUUAUAAGCCUAAUUAAUAUUGUUGACCAAAUUGGGUAGACACUAGUACAUCUGUCCUUUCAUAAUUUUCUCCCUUCAGAAAGAGCGCCCUCUAAAAAUCAACUAGUCAAGCCGGGCGUGGUGGCGCACGCCUUUAAUC
rnacentral:lncRNA from 1 species